rnacentral:lncRNA from 10 species
AGAUCAGCCCUGGGGUUCAGAGGGAUCCUGACAGCUACUCCUCAAGAUCCUCUCUGUUGUGAUUCAUCCCCCCGGGGCCCUACAGUUUCUCCUUCCUGACUCUUACAUUUCUUUGGAUGGCAUCAUUAUUUACCUGUCUCCUCCCAUAGUUAGGUGCCAAGCACUGUGGAUUCUGCCUCUCAGUGUCCAGACACCCAUUUUCCUUCCCACUGUUCCUUCCCCAUGGAGAAGCCUGUGGCUGGCUGACAGCAGAGAGAGAUGCUCAACUUGGAGAAGGUGUUACCUGGGCCAGGUGGGGAAGGUUUGUUUGCAGAGCAAAGAAGUGAAGGAAGUAUUAACCCUUUGCAUGGCCUCCUGAGAAUCCGACAAGACCCUAUUCAACGUGAAAAAGAUGAGGAUGAAGACCUUUAUUAUGAUCCACUUCCAAGUAAUGAACACACUGGAGAAAGUCAGACAGUCAAAACAAUGUCCCAGACUCCGUGAAGUUCCUGGGUAGAGAAGGAGACAGACAUAUACCAUACCUAAUAAUUGGAUGUCCGAGAGAAUGAGAGAAUGGCAGAAAGAACUUUAGAGCAUGGGUAUGAUGGCUAGAGCUUGAGCAGCCAUUGUGGACAUCAGAUGAACUUGAAAGUGAAAACUAUGAGCUGAAUACGACAAAGCAAACAGAUAGAAAACUGGAUUCAUUAUGACAUUGCAAAGCUGCCAGACCAGCUCUAGUCUGCUUCCCCCUAAUCUUCCUUACUAAGAGAGAGAAAUAAACUUCCAUCUUCUU